AUACGGAGGAUCCGAGCGUUAUCCGGAUUUAUUGGGUUUAAAGGGUGCGCAGGCGGCCAUUUAAGUCAGCGGUUAAAUCGUGGGGCUCAACCCCAUUCUGCCGUUGAUACUGGGUGGCUUGAUUGCGGUCGAGGUUGGCGGAAUUCGUUGUGUAGCGGUGAAAUGCAUAGAUAUGACGAAGAACACCGAUUGCGUAGGCAGCUGACCAGAUCGCAAAUGACGCUCAUGCACGAAAGUGCGGGGAUCGAACAGGAUUAGAUACCCUGGUAGUCCGCACAGUAAACGAUGAAUACUUGUUUUCGGCGAUAUAAUGUCGGAGGCAAAGCGAAAGCGAUAAGUAUUCCACCUGGGGAGUGCGCCGGCAACGGUGAAACUCAAAUGAAUUGACGGGG
rnacentral:rRNA from 1 species